UAAUACGUAGGGUGCGAGCGUUAAUCGGAAUUACUGGGCGUAAAGCGUGCGCAGGCGGUUGUGUAAGUCAGAUGUGAAAUCCCCGGGCUCAACCUGGGAACUGCAUUUGAGACUGCACGGCUAGAGUGUAGCAGAGGGGGGUAGAAUUCCACGUGUAGCAGUGAAAUGCGUAGAGAUGUGGAGGAAUACCGAUGGCGAAGGCAGCCCCCUGGGUUACUACUGACGCUCAUGCACGAAAGCGUGGGGAGCAAACAGG
rnacentral:rRNA from 1 species